CUUGGGGAAAAGAGGCUCACAGAAGCUUUGGCAGUGGUUUUUCUUCAAGUCCCAGGAUUCUUUGCAGGGCUCCAGGCACUUUGAACACUGUUUGUGAUUCUGGCACCAAGCAAGUGAUCCAUUGUUCUGGAAAUGCUUGAAGAAGGCGGAGAUGCGGGUGAUCUGCAGGCUCAGGCACCUGGAGGUGCAUCUGGCGGUGGAGAACGCCUCGUCCUGCCUGCGGGCGGUGGCGGCCCCCGGGCCGGCGGGGCUGCCGCUGACGGCCGUCACCCAGAGGAGCAGGGCGAGGGACGCGCCGGGCGCCCUCCGCACCAUCGCUCCGCGGGAGGGGAGGGCAGAAGGGCGGCCGGGUGCUGCGGGCUGAGCUGCUGCUCGCCGGGCGGGUGCCGGGCUGCACUGGGGACAGACAGCUCCGCGCCGCAGAAACUAAAC
rnacentral:lncRNA from 1 species